AUUGAACGCUGGCGGCAGGCCUAACACAUGCAAGUCGAGCGGAUGAAGGGAGCUUGCUCCUGGAUUCAGCGGCGGACGGGUGAGUAAUGCCUAGGAAUCUGCCUGGUAGUGGGGGAUAACGUCCGGAAACGGGCGCUAAUACCGCAUACGUCCUGAGGGAGAAAGUGGGGGAUCUUCGGACCUCACGCUAUCAGAUGAGCCUAGGUCGGAUUAGCUAGUUGGUGGGGUAAAGGCCUACCAAGGCGACGAUCCGUAACUGGUCUGAGAGGAUGAUCAGUCACACUGGAAAUGAGAAACGGCCCCAACUCCGACGGGGGGCAGCAGGGGGGAAUUUUGGAAAAGGGGGGAAAGCCUGAUCCAGCCAGGCCGGGUGGGUGAAGAAGGUCUUCGGAUUGUAAAGCAUUUUAAGUUGGGGGGAAGGGCAGUAAGUUAAUACCUUGCUGUUUUGACGUUACCAACAGAAUAAGCACCGGCUAACUUCGU
rnacentral:rRNA from 1 species